AUGAUGGCAUUUUCUGAAAUUAUGCAUGCACUGGAAAAUGAUAGACCAACAAAACAAAACAAAAACAUACUUGGGCCAGAAGCAACGCAGUGCAUCGGCCCAGAAUGGAAUCGGGCCCAAGCGGCUGAAUGUGUGUGCAGGCAAAAGCAAUAUAAACUGAGGGAAAAAGAGGGGAGUGCUGUGCUUGGUUUCGAACCCAGGACCUCCUGGAGGUGCACAGGAAUUGCUAACCAGUUCAACUACAAUGGAUACGUGAUAUUAGAUGGGUUUCGUAAUAGAAGAACCAUUUUCCCGAACUGCUCUGAAUCGAACACAGUGAACACGCAGAUAUAG
rnacentral:rRNA from 1 species